UACGUAGGGUGCGAGCGUUAAUCGGAAUUACUGGGCGUAAAGCGUGCGCAGGCGGCUUUGCAAGACAGAUGUGAAAUCCCCGGGCUUAACCUGGGAACUGCAUUUGUGACUGCAUGGCUGGAGUGCGGCAGAGGGGGAUGGAAUUCCGCGUGUAGCAGUGAAAUGCGUAGAUAUGCGGAGGAACACCGAUGGCGAAGGCGGCAUCCUGGACCGGCAUUGACGCUGAGGAGCGAAAGCUAGGGGAGCAAACGGG
rnacentral:rRNA from 1 species